ensembl:misc_RNA Metazoa_SRP Metazoan signal recognition particle RNA
GCCGGGCAUGAUGGCUCAUGCCUGUAAUCCCAGCCACUUGGGAGGCUGAGGCAGGAUAAUUGCUUUAAUCCGGGAGGCAGAGGUUGCAGUGAGCCGAGACGCGCCACUGUACUCCAGCCUGGGUGGCAGAGCAAGACUCUGCCUCAA